rnacentral:rRNA from 1 species
CCCUUAGAUGUUCUGGGCCGCACGCGCGCUACACUGUUUGAUUCAGCGAGUCUUAACCUUGACCGAAAGGUUUGGGUAAUCUUCUAAAGUCAAACGUGAUGGGGAUCGAUCAUUGCAAUUAUUGAUCGUGAACGAGGAAUUCCUAGUAAAUGCAAGUCAUCAGCUUGCGUUGAUUACGUCCCUGCCCUUUGUACACACCGCCCGUCGCUACUACCGAUGGAAUGGUUUAGUGAGAUCUCCGGAUUGGCUCUGUAGGUCCCGCAAGGGAUUUAUUAGUAGCCAAGAAGCUGCUCAAACUUGAUCAUUUAGAGGAAGUAAAAGUCGUAACA